rnacentral:rRNA from 1 species
CAGCAGCCGCGGGAAUACGAAGGGGGCUAGCGUUGCUCGGAAUGACUGGGCGUAAAGGGCGCGUAGGCGGCGGCCAAAGUCAGGCGUGAAAUUCCCGGGCUCAACCUGGGGGCUGCGUUUGAUACUUGGUUGCUUGAGUGGGGAAGAGGGUCGUGGAAUUCCCAGUGUAGAGGUGAAACUCGUAGAUAUUGGGAAGAACACCGGUGGCGAAGGCGGCGACCUGGUCCUUUACUGACGCUGAGGCGCGAAAGCGUGGGGAGCAAACAGGAUUAGAUACCCCCGUAGUCCCUGUCUCUUAUCC